rnacentral:rRNA from 1 species
CGCGCAGGCGGUUGGAUAAGAGAGUGGUGAAAACCCCGGGCUCAACCUGGGGCCGGCCAUUCAGACUGUCUGGCUGGAGUGUGGGAGAGGGAAGUGGAAUUCCUGGUGUAGCGGUGAAAUGCGUAGAUAUCAGGAGGAACACCGGUGGCGAAGGCGGCUUCCUGGACCACAACUGACGCUGAGGCGCGAAAGCCAGGGGAGCAAACAGGAUUAGAUACCCUGGUAGUCCUGGCUGUAAACGAUGGAUACUUGCUGUGGGGGGUAUUAAAUCCCUCUGUGGCGGAGCUAACGCGAUAAGUAUCCCGCCUGGGGAGUACGGUCGCAAGUCUGAA